rnacentral:lncRNA from 1 species
AUUUUAUACUACAUAAUUGUAUAAUACUCAAAUGAUUUAGACAUUAUAAACAGUCAGCUUUGAAUGAAUUCAGUGUACCAGAAAAAUCCUCAUGUGAUUUUUAAAUAAGCAAUAUAAAAGAGAUUUUGUAUUUAUUCACUUUAAUUUCUUCACUUUUAUAUACUGUAGACCAGGCUUCAGUGAGAAGCAAAACAUCAAUAAAAUAAUUAUAAACCUAUCUUUUGGGAAAUUAAAAACUAAUCUGUAUCUCCCCAAAAAAAUGUAUUUUGUAAAAAAAAAAAAAAAAUGCCCUCAUGCUUGUAAAAAUGUAGCUUUUAUAAUGUUGAAGAGUUUUAGAAAUAAAAUUAUGACUCUUGGAAACAAAUACCUUAACUCAUACACAUUGGUCAGUUCCUUUUGUACCUGGUUAGUGAAAAGCUUGGUCUGUUACCUUCCUCCCAAGGGUCACAAGUGUGGCAGGUCCAAGACAGGAUUUUAAGCCUUCUCUGAGUGCUGGCGAGAGAUUUCAACAUUUAAGAGUAUGGUGCUUUUGCAGAGGGUCCAGGAAAUCUUAGGAAAGAAGGUAGAGUUACGGGUAAGGUGGAGUCAGGCAGACUCCUGUUUCCACCUAGAGUGCAGCAUGCAGGUUUGGUGCAUGAAAUAGAGAGACGAUUUGAGACCCACUACAUGGACUUUAUACACAGUUUAAAGAAAAAUAUUAAAAUCUGGUUUCAUGGCAUGCCCUAAGCUAGCAGUUUGGUUUGUUUUGGUUUGGGUUUGAGGAGUUAGAAGGGGUGCAGUAAAUUACAUGUAUCUGCACAGAUGUUGAAAAUCUUUCUAAACCCUUGUCAAAGAUUUGCUUGUCUUAACAUUAGCCUAAUUUAUGAUGACCAUUCACUAAUAAAUUGUAAACGCC